rnacentral:rRNA from 1 species
UACGUAGGGUCCGAGCGUUUGUCCGGAAUUAUUGGGCGUAAAGAGCUCGUAGGCGGUCUGUUGCGUCGGCUGUGAAAACCCGGGGCUCAACUCCGGGCCUGCAGUCGAUACGGGCAGACUAGAGUUCGGAAGAGGCGAGUGGAAUUCCCGGUGUAGCGGUGAAAUGCGCAGAUAUCGGGAGGAACACCUAUGGCGAAGGCAGCUCGCUGGGACGUUACUGACGCUGAGACGCGAAAGCGUGGGGAGCAAACAGG